AGCCCAUAAUUCUUAGGCCCAUACCCCUUAACCUAAAUAUAACCCUAAAAACCUAAACCUAUAAAAGAAGCUAAACCCUAAACUAUAUAGAGAUCAGCCGCAAUACUUAAAGGAGAUGAGCUAAAAAAUACAGAAAAAAAGAAGCUUAAGACCUAAGCAACAACGAUCCUCCAUGGGUCUUCUUCACAAAAUCAAAGAAAAACCAAAAAGGGAAGAUCCCUAAGCUAAAUAAGAGGAACGACCGCAGUAACCGAAAAUCACGACCCCACCCCAAAACUUUGAUCUUCGAUUUCAGUCGAUUCAGCUGUGUCGGUGAAUGUUAAAUGGAGUUGUGUUUCUCGUUAGAUUGAAGAAUAUUAGUUCAAUGAUCGGAUUCCGAUUUGCAAAAUACAAGUUUGAGCUCGCCGCGAGUCUGAAGUUGCCGAUAGAGGUUUCCGGUUCGAGUUCUGUCCAAUAGCUCGCUCAAGAUUCAUUGUUUGGAGCUUCCAUUACUAUACCCGUCGGGAAAUUUUCAGCAAAUCAAGGUCCAUCCUUUUCCGUUGUUUUACUGUCGAUAUUGCAAAAUCUCGUGUUUGUCUCAAUUUGUGAAUGUUAUAUGUGUUGAUCCACCAUUUUUUUCUCCUUAUUAUUUAUGAUAGUUUAAUUGUGCUCUUUA